rnacentral:rRNA from 1 species
GACGGCUCAUUAACACGUGGUUAACAUACCCUCAGGUGGGGGAUAACCUUGGGAAACUGAGGAUAAUACCCCAUAGAAAAAGCAGUCUGGAACGAUUCUUUUUCGAAAGCAUAUGCGCCUGAGGAUUGGACUGCGCUCGAUUAGGUAGUUGGUGGGGUAAUGGCCCACCAAGCCUACGAUCGGUACGGGCCUUGAGAGAGGAAGCCCGGAGAUGGGGACUGAGACACGGCCCCAGGCCCUACGGGGCGCAGCAGGCGCGAAACCUCCGCAAUGCACGAAAGUGCGACGGGGGGAUCCCAAGUGCUCAUGCACAGCAUGGGCUUUUAUCAAGUGUAAACAGCUUGAGGAAUAAGGGCUGGGCAAGUUCGGUGCCAGCAGCCGCGGUAACACCGACGGCCCGAGUGGUGGCCACUUUUAUUGGGCCUAAAGCGUCCGUAGCCGGUCCAGUAAGUCCUUGUUUAAAUCCUGCGGCUUAACCGCAGGACUGGCAGGGAUACUGCUGGACUUGGGACCGGGAGAGGACAAGGGUACUUCAGGGGUAGCGGUGAAAUGUGUUGAUCCUUGAAGGACCACCUAUGGCGAAGGCACUUGUCUGGAACG